GGACAUGUGCACGCUCUCUCAACUCAAUUCAACCUUACACCUGUGCACCCAUUGUAGGCUGGGGUGGCGUCAAGCUGCCCCUUCCUAUGUUUUAUCAUAUAUACACCUGUCAGUCUCAGAAUGUCAUCUGCGUAUAACGCAUUUUUUGAAAACAACUUUCAACAACGGAUCUCUUGGCUCUCGCAUCGAUGAAGAACGCAGCGAAAUGCGAUAAGUAAUGUGAAUUGCAGAAUUCAGUGAAUCAUCGAAUCUUUGAACGCACCUUGCGCUCCUUGGUAUUCCGAGGAGCAUGCCUGUUUGAGUGUCAUGAAUCUCUCAACCCACCUGGUUUUUGUUAACUGUGGUGGGCUUGGAUUUGGGGGCUUUGCUGGCUGUCAAGUCGGCUCCUCUCUAAAUGUAUUAGCUGAACCCGUUGCGGAACAGUGGCUCGGUGUGAUAAUUGUCUACGCCGUCUCUGGGAAGCGUCUUUGGUUGAUCGGCUUCUAAACUGUCCUCGGACAAUUUUGACAGUUUGACCUCAAAUCAGGUAGGAUUACCCGC
rnacentral:rRNA from 1 species